GACGAACGCUGGCGGCGUGCUUAACACAUGCAAGUCGAACGGAAAGGCCCUGCUUUUGUGGGGUGCUCGAGUGGCGAACGGGUGAGUAACACGUGAGUAACCUGCCCUUGACUUUGGGAUAACUUCAGGAAACUGGGGCUAAUACCGGAUAGGAGCUCCUGCUGCAUGGUGGGGGUUGGAAAGUUUCGGCGGUUGGGGAUGGACUCGCGGCUUAUCAGCUUGUUGGUGGGGUAGUGGCUUACCAAGGCUUUGACCGGUAGCCGGCCUGAGAGGGGGACCGGGCACAAUGGGACUGAGAUACGGCCCAGACUCCUACGGGAGGCAGCAGGGGGGAAUAUUGCACAAUGGGCGGAAGCCUGAUGCAGCAACGCCGCGUGCGGGAUGACGGCCUUCGGGUUGUAAACCGCUGUCGCCUGUGACGAAGCGUGAGUGACGGUAAUGGGUAAAGAAGCACCGGCUAACUACGUG
rnacentral:rRNA from 1 species